CUUGACACCAUCUUAUUCAACACCUGUCUUCUGCUGAGAAGUCCUUAACUGAGGAAUCAUCUCUCCAUCUGGGCCCUGUCUGUCCCUAAGCACCCCGGCAGCCUUUUGCAGUGCCAGCAGCCCUGCCUCCUGCUUCUCCCCACCCGCGGAAGCUCCUCGUCCCUUGGCUUUGCUAUAGGUGUGAAGCAGAAGGCUCGGAGCACAAACAGCCACCCGGGGCAGCACCAAAAUGACCCGUACUCUCUGUGCCAAUUGGACAUUGCAUCCUGUCCCCAGCCAUCCAAAUCGACAAGGGCCACAAGGAUGGAGCUGGGCAAUACAGCAGAGAUUUUGGUACAAGAAACAGGACAAAGCAGGAAAUGGUGUUGAAAGCUGAAUGAAGGAAAUCUGCUCACUAUUCCUGUGGUGAAUGUAACCCAUUGAAAGUAGGCUGGUUAGAAACACCUCUGCUCUUCCAGUUGCCAACUUGACCUUUCAGAUGCCCCAAUCUGACUGGCUUCCCACGUUAUCCUAAAAAAUUACUGGGGAGCCGCAAACAGCACAGCGCUGCGUGGGAGAAGGCAGUGGGAGAUGUGGGGGAAUAAAUGUGUGCACCCGGAGAAGGGAAAAAGUGAUGCAGUGGAAAGGCUGCCCUGACCUUGGGCCAGCAAUAAGGGAGCGGCAGCCUCACUAUCUGGUGUGAACAGUGAGCAGCUCUUUUGCAGGCGCCAGGGCUCGGCUGUGGUUUUGAAU